CGGACGGGUGAGUAACGCGUGAGAAUCUGCCCUCAGGAGGGGGACAACAGCUGGAAACGGCUGCUAAUACCCCAUAUGCCGCGAGGUGAAAUGAAUUUCGCCUGAGGAUGAGCUCGCGUCUGAUUAGCUAGUUGGUGUAGGUAAUGGCUCACCAAGGCAUCGAUCAGUAGCUGGUCUGAGAGGAUGAUCAGCCACACUGGGACUGAGACACGGCCCAGACUCCUACGAGAGGCAGCAGUGGGGAAUUUUCCGCAAUGGGCGAAAGCCUGACGGAGCAACGCCGCGUGAGGGAUGAAGGCCUCUGGGCUGUAAACCUCUUUUAUCAAGGAAGAAGAUCUGACGGUACUUGAUGAAUAAGCCACGGCUAAUUCCGUGCCAGCAGCCGCGGUAAUACGGGAGUGGCAAGCGUUAUCCGGAAUUAUUGGGCGUAAAGCGUCCGCAGGCGGCCCUUCAAGUCUGCUGUUAAAAAGUGGAGCUUAACUCCAUCAUGGCAGUGGAAACUGUUGGGCUUGAGUGUGGUAGGGGCAGAGGGAAUUCCCGGUGUAGCGGUGAAAUGCGUAGAUAUCGGGAAGAACACCAGUGGCGAAGGCGCUCUGCUGGGCCAUCACUGACGCUCAUGGACGAAAGCCAGGGGAGCGAA
rnacentral:rRNA from 1 species